rnacentral:rRNA from 1 species
UACGUAGGGGGCAAGCGUUGUCCGGAAUUACUGGGCGUAAAGCGCGUGUAGGCGGGACGGCAAGUCGGACGUGAAAGGCUGGGGCUCAACCCCAGAUCGCCGUUCGAAACGGUCGUUCUUGAGGGUCGAAGAGGAGAGUGGAAUUCCUGGUGUAGCGGUGAAAUGCGUAGAGAUCAGGAGGAACACCCAUGGCGAAGGCAGCUCUCUGGUCGACCUCUGACGCUGAGACGCGAAAGCGUGGGGAGCGAACGGG